ACGGGAGGCAGCAGUGGGGAAUAUUGCACAAUGGGGGAAACCCUGAUGCAGCGACGCCGCGUGAGUGAUUGAAGUAUUUCGGUAUGUAAAGCUCUAUCAGCAGGGAAGAAAAUGACGGUACCUGACUAAGAAGCCCCGGCUAACUACGUGCCAGCAGCCGCGGUAAUACGUAGGGGGCAAGCGUUAUCCGGAUUUACUGGGUGUAAAGGGAGCGUAGGUGGUAUGGUAAGUCAGAAGUGAAAACCCAGGGCUCAACUUUGGGAUUGCUUUUGAAACUAUCAAACUAGAGUGCAGGAGGGGUAAGCGGAAUUCCUAGUGUAGCGGUGAAAUGCGUAGAUAUUAGGAAGAACACCAGAGGCGAAGGCGGCUUACUGGACUGUAACUGACACUGAGGCUCGAAAGCGUGGGGAGCAAACAGGAUUAGAUACCCUGGUA
rnacentral:rRNA from 1 species